GAUGAACGCUGGCGGCGUGCCUAAUACAUGCAAGUCGAGCGAACGGACGAGGAGCUUGCUGCUCUGACGUUAGCGGCGGACGGGUGAGUAACACGUGGAUAACCUACCUAUAAGACUGGGAUAACUUCGGGAAACCGGAGCUAAUACCGGAUAAUAUUUUGAACCGCAUGAUUCAAUAGUGAAAGACGGUUUUGCUGUCACUUAUAGAUGGAUCCGCGCUGCAUUAGCUAGUUGGUAAGGUAACGGCUUACCAAGGCAACGAUGCGUAGACGACCUGAGAGGGUGAUCGGCCACACUGGAACUGAGACACGGUCCAGACUCCUACGGGAGGCAGCAGUAGGGAAUCUGCCGCAAUGGGCGGAAGCCUGACGGAGCAACGCCGCGUGAGUGAUGAAGGUCUUCGGAUCGUAAAACUCUGUUAUUAGGGAAGAACAGAUGUGUAAGUAACUGUGCACAUCUUGACGGUACCUAAUCAGAAAGCCACGGCUAACUACGUG
rnacentral:rRNA from 1 species